AAAAUCAAUCGGAUUUCAUGUGCCAAGUUUGUGUCCGUAAUUAUUAUUAUUUUUACUAUAAUAUUGAAUACAUGGUUACUAUUCUCUCAUUGUUUGCCAAGAUUUUUUGGUUUAUUACAAAACCUGCAAUUUCAACCAUCAGUGAUUUCAAUUUCAAAAGAUAACAAAAUUAAAAAUACCAUUAUUACUGCUAUUUGUUUUCUUUUGGAUUUUGAAGCAGGAGAGAAUAUAAGAAAGACGAGAGGCAGAAUCCCGAGUUCACAUCGAAACCGCCCGUCCACCAUGCCUCCGAUUUACACCCUCCUUCCACAAUUAUAUGUUCGAAUUUGCUUGCUUUCACCAUCACAGAACAAUUGUCUACAAACCACCAUGGUCUCAAAAUCCAAAUCAAACCAACAACACUUUCCAAUCGGAAAACAAAGAAGAAGUUGA